CCCACCCCGAUCGAUCGUAAAGUUCCAGAAGCUGCAGUGACGACCGGCCCGUCCUUUCAACCCGACAGCCGGAUCCCAGCCUUGCAGGUGCGGGGCGCGGGGGACCGGAGCGGUUCGGGACCCAGGUCCGGAAGGGGGAAGGAUGUCAGAGGCCCUGCCCACCUGAGGGCCCGGCUGGCUGCGUUCGAGGCGAGAGGAGACAGCCAGUGCGAAGGAAGGGCACCCCGAACCGCCCUGUACCCCCGAAGGCCGGGCAAUCCUCUUCCUCAGCAGACCCUGCGGGCAGCUUUCUCUACAACAGGGGACCCAGGAGACAAGCAGCGGCCAGGACUGGACCCAGGCCGGCAGUGGACAGGAGGCCGGAAGCAAGAUGCAGACUCGGAGCUUGGAGCUCGGAGCUCGGGGCUCCCAGGAAAUGCACCUCUGACUUGCAAUAUGGCACCAGAGGAGGGCCGCUGGCUGGCAUGAGAGUCACGAUGGAGGGAGGCAAAUCUCUGCUCUGACCUGUGAACAAAAGCUGACAGCUCUCUAUAGUAUUAUCUCCUUGAUUUUAGGCCGAAAGGCUGGCGCCUGGGCGUGAUUAGACCGUCUACCCCGCCCGCCGCAACCUCGCAUAUAGCCCACAAGGUGGCGCCACAAAGCAGUCGCAGCGGGACGAACCAACUGCGAGUCCAGCGAGGCGUAUGUCCGUCACCGUCCGGGUUUCCAAUACCCAGGACGUGGAGUUACAGAAGUCGCCACGUGAAUUUUUUUUUUAAAAAG
rnacentral:lncRNA from 1 species